ACGAUUUCUAACGCAUUUGAUGAUGACGGCGCGGAGGAGCUGCAAUGGCGUCAAUCAGAACACGAAGUACCAGUCAGAUUUGUGCAGAAUUUGAGACAUACAUAAUUACCAUAGGCCCAUUAGAAUCAACAAUCUUUGCCAAGUUUUAAGUUUUCCACACUGCAAAACUUAUGAAGAUGUUUGCAUACUGAAGAAGAGUCCUUGGACAUAAUUAAACCCCCUCGGUGCCCACUACACAGACUAAUGAAAUUGAAGUAUCCAAAUGAAGACCCUAGCAGUAUGGACUAUAUGGUGAGUUUUAUUUUUAUUUUUUUCAAGGUUAAUAAAUGCUUUGUAAAAGUUAAUACACAAAAAUUUGAGUACUCCAUCCUUUUAAAUACUUCUAGGAUACAGGCGUUGCCAGCAAUCAGGAGGUGAUCCAGAAGACUCGUGGGAAUCUAUAUAAAGGUGCAUCAUUGAAGACAGCCCAGCAGAUGUUAAAGUGUUGGAAGAUAAAGUUCUUCAGGACCUUAGCAGUUUAUACUAUGCAAAACCAUGUUGCUGGGACUGAUAUAUGGACUGAACUUGAGCAACCCUCCUGAACUCAGGUACACAUUUGGAGUACUGAAGAAGUUAUUUCUGGAGCCAGUUCCUGUUCCUGGAAUAAGGUUUGAUUGGUUACCCAUGAAUGCCAAUUAGAAAAUGACAGUAGUUUGAUAUUUCUGCUAUUUUGUGUAAUUUUGUAAUGUGGUUUCAACUGUAUUCAACUGUGUAUAAUUAUUUAUUGCUUUAUACACUUUGAUCAUUUGUGACAUCUUGUCUUUUGACUCAUUACAAGACAAAUAAAUCAAAAAUGCUUUGUUGAAGGGAGUAACUUUAAAUAGAAAACAUUUAAAGUAACUAGAACUAAUUGGAUGGAACCACUGUCCAUAAUUGAAUUAAGUUAGUUUAAAGAGUCAUUAAAACAAGUAAACCAUACCUGAUAUUUAAGUGUUUGCUGGUUCUUUCCAAGGGUUCAAAAAAAAAAAAAAUUAAGCAGCAGUCAAGGAGCUUUUUUUUACCGUGAAAUAUCAGUGUAGUUGAACAUCUGAUGUUGUACGGAAGCAUGACAUGUCAAUGGAGAACAAAAACUGUAAUGUGAACAAGAAUUCUGAAGGGUCAGAUGUGUUCUGCCGGUUCUGCAAACAUACUGGCAAAAUGAGGUAAUAAAAUCCUAUCUUUAUUAUCUUUUGAAAAUAAAGUAUAUCGUUACGUUGGCAGAGUUUACAAAUGGGUAACAAGGACAUGUAUCCUGCAGAAGAUAAAUACCUGUGUGUGUAUUUUUGUAUUGCUUUAUCACAGAUGCUCAAGUUAGAUGCUCAUCUGAUGUUGUGUUGCUGGACAGUACAGAAAGCGCACAAGUGGGAGAGAGUGGAGGGGACGGCGUCAGAAAGGACCUAGAGCUGGGACAUUUUCAAGGAUCACCUAAAGCACAACUACACUAUAUCCACAAGGCUGUUGGUUCUAACAUUUUAGAGUCCCCUUCAGUAGAAAUCACAUUCUCUGUUCCCCACACUAAAAAAAGAUGGUGUGGGGGGGGGUUCCCGUUAGAAAUGCCCCCCCCUCCCUCGGGGUGCCCCCUCUAACGUUGGGCCUUUGGAAUUGUCCUAAUCUUCCCUCCCCUUACAGCAUCCCUGGUUGAAGGUUCCCUUCUCAAACUGUGCAAUACAUUUUCACACCACAAAUGUACACAUCUCUUGUGAUGAGACACAUUACUAAAACAUGUUUUUUACAGAACCUAGUUUUCCACCAAAAUAAAAGAUCAGCUUUCAUUCAUAAAGGUACAAGGGUUUCUCUUGCAAGUGCCGCACAAAAUAAGCAUUUAUAUGCAAAAAUAUGCCAAAUUAUUUGACAAAAACCUUUAAAUAUUAUUGUAUUUGGAUUGUUCUUCUACAGGUUUUUAACAAUACAUCCAUGCAUACUCUGCAAAAUAAAGUUUGGGAUUAUUUCCAUCUGUUUUAUACAGUAUGUUUCCUAAAUAAAACUUUUACUUUUACAA